rnacentral:rRNA from 1 species
UACAGAGGGGGCAAGCGUUAUUCGGAAUUAUUGGGCGUAAAGGGCGCGUAGGCGGCUUGGCAAGCGGAAGGUGAAAUCCCUCGGCUUAACCGAGGAACUGCCUUCCAGACUGCUUUGCUUGAGGCCGGGAGAGGCGAGUGGAAUUCCCAGUGUAGCGGUGAAAUGCGUAGAUAUUGGGAGGAACACCAGUGGCGAAGGCGGCUCGCUGGACCGGUUCUGGCGCUGAGGCGCGAAAGCGUGGGGAGCAAACGGG